rnacentral:rRNA from 1 species
AGCUCGAGGGGCAAAGAGGAAGCUGGAACGAACGGUGUAGCAGUGAAAUGCGUUGAUAUCGUUUGGAACACCGAUAGCGAAGGCAGGCUUCUGGGUGCCAUCUGACGCUUCUAGGACGAAAGCGUGGGUAGCGAAUGGGAUUAGAUACCCCAGGUAGUCCACGCUGUAAACGAUGAUGACUAGGCAUGGGGAAGUAUCGACCCUUUUCCGUGCCGUAGCUAACGCGUUAAGUCAUCCGCCUGGGGAGUACGGGUCGCAAGACUAAAACUCAGAGGAAUUGAGCGGGGAUCCGCACAAGCGGUGGAGCAUGUGGUUUAAUUCGACGAUAAGCGAGGAACCUUACCUGGGCUUGACAUUGCACUGCAAGCGCUAGAAAUAGCGUCGCCUUCGAGGGUGUGCAACAGGUGCUGCACGGUUGUCGUCAGCUCGUGUCGUGAGAUGUUGCCUUAAGUGGUAGAACGAGCGCAACCCUUGUCCUGUGUUACUGUGUCACAGGAGACUGCCAGGGUUUAACCUGGAGGAAGGUGGGGAUGACGUCAAAUCAGCGUGGCUCUUACGUCCAGGGCUACACAC